CUGAACGCCUUCCCAGUCCCAGCAGCCGGAGGAUCUGUUUUUGGUGGGACCUGGGAUACUCAGGCGGGGCGUGCGGAGCGCUUGACCUUCCACAGUGUCCGGCACACGCAGGCUUUUCGACAUCGUCACCUGUCCUGCUGCAAUAGGAAGCUCAAGGAAAUAUGCAUCUGCGAAUUAGCAUGAACCCACGCAGGUCUGCCUGGCUCAGAGUUCCAGCUUCACACCACUGUGUCCCACUGAAACAAUGAAGCACAAACUGGAAGAAAAAAGAUGUGAGAUGUGAAUACUCAACAAAAUUUUUGAUACAGGGAAGGCUUUUCAAAUUAAGAAAUGAUGAACAUUUUUCAUAAAGUUGAUUAUAUGAAAUUUAAAGGAAGCUUUUCACAAGGCCUGGCAAGUGUGGUGAACGAAUUAGCAAACCCCAGCAUUGCAUUUCAGUGCCAGCCAGAACAAGCAUGCCCAGAACUGUCCAGGCAGAGCUCUCGGCCUCAGCUUUGGGGACCCAACCAGGAGAUGUUUCUUCUUUCCAGCCUUCCAGAAAGAUCAAAGACUAUGGACCACUCACUUCCUGACUCACAUUUUCCUGGCCAAAAGCUUCUAGCUGGGCAGGUAGUACUCUGGCAGGUAAAUGGAUGUUUGUUGUCAAACCCCAACCUCAUACAAAGAGAAUCUAGGGGAGCCAGUGUGGGGCUGGUGGGGUACACGUGGAAGGAGAUGUUCUGA
rnacentral:lncRNA from 1 species